rnacentral:lncRNA from 1 species
CACAAAUGUGGGAGUAUGCUGGACUUUACAAAAAAUAAAGCUAAGCAUUUAAAUAUACAACUUUGGGUAUACAUCUCUUAGUAAGGUACUUUUUAAAGCAUAUACAUAAUUUACGGCAUUUUACAUAACUUACUAAAACAAAAAUUGUGGCCAGUUAAACUCUUACAACAGUAUAGAAUGUGGCCAUAACAGUCCCUAUGGGAAGAACAGGACAGAGAGUGACAUACUUGAAAUGUUUCCCCAGGAGAGUUUGGCAUUCUUUCGAUAAGGGUAGUCUUUAACCUUCAUUGAAGAAAUCUUUUUGCAACAGUAAGCGACCACUCCAGAAAACAACAACCAAUAAAAAUGCAGAGUCGUGGAGCUCCGUCCAAACAGUUACAUCAACAAUCAGACUGCACCUUCACUCCAGGUUCAGAGAUCAUUUCAGAAGAGGGAUUGGAAAAUUACAAGUGCCCGAGGAACUGGGAGUUUGCUGUAAGACUGUAUUUUCUGGUAAUAUUAGAAGCUAUACACAAAGUCUCAGAAAUAUGAAGACCCAAAUGUGAGCAAUGAUGACACCAAUAAACAAGCUGAACUGUGUGGGGAAAAGCCUAUAAGGCCUCAACUCAACACAAAGAGCCAUGGACAACUGAGGAAAGAGCACACCAACUGGCUAUCCAGUGCCAAACAGUGAUUCCUGAAAACAUGUGCACAAGUAAUACAUGGAUUCAAU